UUAAAGAAGAGUUUGAUCCUGGCUCAGGGUUAACGCUGGCGGUAUGUCUAAUACAUGCAAGUCGAGCGCCCCCACUGUGUUUUCAAAUUUUUGAAGAUAGAGUGGGGGAGCGGCGAACGGGUGAGUAACACGUUGGAACCUGCCUUAAGCUCGGGGAUACUCCGUAGAAAUACGGGUUAAUACCGGAUGGUCCCGAAAGGGUAAAGCUUUUGCGGCUUAAGAGGGUCCUGCGGCCUAUCAGCUAGUUGGUGGGGUAGAAGCCUACCAAGGCAAUGACGGGUAGCUGAUCUGAGAGGAUGAUCAGUCACAAUGGAACUGAGACACGGUCCAUACUCCUACGGGAGGCAGCAGUAAAGAAUCUUCCACAAUGGGCGCAAGCCUGAAGGAGCGAUACCGCGUGAACGAUGAAGGUCGUAAGAUCGUAAAGUUCUUUUUUGGGGGAAGAAUUCUGACGGUACCCCAAGAAUAAGCACCGGCUAACUCCGUGCCAGCAGCCGCGGUAAUACGGAGGGUGCAAGCGUUACCCGGAAUUAUUGGGCGUAAAGCGUCCGCAGGUGGUUUGUUAAGUUGAAUGUUAAAUCUCGGAGCUCAACUCCGAGUUCGUAUUCAAAACUGGCGAACUAGAGAAUUUUAGAGGUGCGUGGAAUUCUGUGUGUAGGGGUAAAAUCCGUAGAUACACAGAGGAACACCAAAAGCGAAGGCAGCAUGCUGGGGACGUUCUGACGCUCAUGGACGAAAGCGUAGGUAGCGAACGGGAUUAGAUACCCCGGUAGUCUACGCCGUAAACGAUGGAUACUAGUUGUUGGAGGGCUCGACCCCUUCAGUGACGACGCUAACGCAUUAAGUAUCCCGCCUGGGGAGUACGAUCGCAAGAUUAAAACUCAAAGGAAUAGACGGGGACCCACACAAGCGGUGGAGCAUCUGGCUUAAUUCGAUAAUAAGCGAGGAACCUCACCUGGACUUGACAUCCCGAGAAUUCUUUGGAAACAGAGAAGUGCCUUACGGAACUCGGUGACAGGUGCUGCAUGGUUGUCGUCAGCUCGUGCCUUGAGGUGUUCGGUUAAGUCCGUAAACGAGCGCAACCCAUGUCCUGUGUUGUAUUUUUCACAGAAGACUGCCGAUUCAAAGUCGGAGGAAGGUAUGGAUGACGUCAAAUCAGCAUGGCCCUUAUGUCCAGGGCUGCACAGGUGCUACAAUGGCAGGUAUAGCGGGUAGCAAUGCCGUAAGGCGG
rnacentral:rRNA from 1 species